rnacentral:misc_RNA from 1 species
UUUCAGCUUCGAGAUUACACCAGAGAUUACUAAACGAACAUAAGUCCAGAUGUCACAUUUUGACAAUGGUGAAUGGGAAUGAUGGGAUUAUAAAUAUAUUAAAUGUAAUUAAAUAAAACUCAACUUAACUCGAACCCAUGAGUGUCUGUGUGUGUUUCUUGUGCUAGUAAUAUAGUUUCUACGAAACAUAUCAUGUGGAAAUGCCACAAGUGUCACAAACCAGUAUAUUUUGCUGAAAGAAAACAGUCUCUGGGGUAUAACUGGCACCCGGAAUGUCUGCGGUGCGAAGAAUGUGGCAAAAGGCUCAAUCCUGGACAACAUGCAGAACAUAAGGGAGUUCCCUACUGUCAUGUGCCCUGUUAUGGGGCUCUAUUUGGGCCUCAGUUGUUCGGUCACGGAACUAGAGUGGAAUCUCAUAAGAGUUUUGGUGCCCAGAAUAACUCGCCAAAGUUCAAUAAUGGUCCUGUUCUUCCUAGGUCUCAUUUGGAGUCAAAAAUCAAGGUCUAUAAUCAGUUUUAUGAAGGUAAGAGCGGGGAAAUUAGGUCUAGAGAAGUAAAUGGUAGAUUUAUUCUGGAGGGUUCGUUAAGAAUCCAUUGGGGCAUCCAGGGAGUGAUUCAUCUCAAAGAAAAUGAUGACCAGAGGACAGUAGUCACUGUUAGAAAGAGAAAUUCCUACAGAUCACCCAGUCCGGAGUAUGACACUGAUGAUGACAUCCAAAACAUAUCACGGGAUAGCAGUUACAAUGAAAUCUCAAGUUGUUCUGACGAUCUUACAAGGUCUGAUACAGGUAUUGAGAGUGGAUCUGAAUCUUUAGACAUAAGCGUGACUGAUAGUGCUUCUUCCUCUCCCCAAAAUGUUAUAAAAAGUGUGACAUUGCCUUCCAAAUUAGAUGUUAAGAACAUGGAAUGGGACGAACUUGAUGAACUGCUUUGUGUAGAGAGAAAAGUGGAUGUUUCUGAACACAUUUAUCAGACUAUGCCUGUUACCCUACCUUCACAAGUUAGUACUGAGAGUUCAAGUGGUUCUAGCAAUAGUACUAAGACUGAGAGUGUAUCACAGACUAUAAGGAACGACAGCACAGAUGUGACCAUCAGAAAUGACACUACAUACACAGAUAGCACCUUGAAAGCCCCACUUACCAACGGUACUAAUAGUCAAGAAAAAGUUCCUCUUUUAUCUCCAUCUUUAAGCAAGGAGGAUGCUUGGCUGAUGCAGAGCAAUCAUUUGAACAGGUCUAUGUCUGGUCCUGACUGUUUAGGACGUGUUAGGGAUGCCCAAUCACCAGAAUUUGAUAGGAGUAGCAUGGCAAGUAUGGAGUCUACCAUGACGGAGCAGGCAGAAGAAGUCGUGUUGAGAAGACCUUAUAAAGGUUCAACUGCAAUAAAACGAAGACCCGGAAAACGAUUGUCGAGAAGUAAAGUAAAACGUAGAUGCUCCAUCAAUGGCCAUUUUUAUGAUAGAGAAACUAGCUUUUUCACUCCGCCCCACGGCAGUCAGAUGAGCGUGUGGGUCACAUCACUAGUCAAUACCAAUGAAGUUAUCAAUUUGUUGUUAGAGAAAUAUAAGGUGGAAAGCGAUGCACAUAAUUUUGCAUUGUUUGUUGUAAGAGAUAAUGGAGAACAACGCAGACUGAAAGAGGACGAAUACCCUCUCCUAGCAAGAGUCCUAUUGGGACCUCACGAAGAUGUCGUCAAACUGUAUUUGAUGGACAGCCAUAACACCCCAGAGGUCAGUUGUGAAGUAGCGCAAUUUUUGAAUCUCACUCUAGCAGAAUGCCGCGCCAUUUUGUCGCAAUACUACUCUCAGGAGGAGCGGGAAGUAGCCCGAAUCAAACAGAAAUACGAAGAGAUGAAGUGUAGAAUUUCUCGCAAAUUACACGAAGUCAAGUUCACAGUGUCUUGAUGUUUGUCUAUUUAUAUUUUGUUACGUCUCAUUUAUAUUUAACAUUUUCUUUUUUAUAUACAAUAAUUUUGUAAUACUUAUUAACCCAUUUUUAGAUGUUUUAAGUUAAUUAUUUUUUAUAUCAUUGUGUUUUUGUCUUUUUUAUACUUAUUGUUACGUGUUUAUACUUUUUUUAUAUAUCCUAUUAAUUUAUACUGGGCCUAAUAUCGUACGAAUUGAACUAAAUAUUGGAAUUAUUGUCCUUUUCAUGAGCAUUUUUCAGUGCGUAACAAAUGAUAGGAAAAAGGGUAAGUCCGUGAUAAUACACAUUUAUGACAUUUAUUCUAACAUGACAUUUUAGUUAAAUCUGACAGUUGUCACAUUUUAUUUUCAAUUUGGAAUAAAAACAAAUCAAAUGUGUUUCUUGCAUUUAUAAAAUGGUAUUUUCUUUGAUUUGUAGAGUCUUAUAAAUUAUACAAAUUAUAUUUGUAAUAUUAUUAUCUAAUUAAAAAAAAAUUUUUUUAUUAUGGCGCCAUCUAUCGACAACUAGAAUAACUAGAAUAAAUGUUGUAAAUGUCUGUAAUCACGGACGUGCCUUUUUUUCUGUCACAUACAAUUUAAUGCGUUAGAAAGAAAUCGAAAAACUGUGACGCACUGAAAGAUGAUCAUGAGAAAAAGAAUACCCUCCAAAUUUGCAGUAUAGACCAUUCUAACAUGCUGUCAAGAUUAUGUCAAUAUGGCGGCUGGGGGGAAACAUAAAUUUAUUCUAUCAGUUCUUAAUGUGUUUUAGAUCAUUUUAGUUGCAUUUAUUUGUAGUUUUGUUUUGUACAAGGAUUAAUUUAACAUUUUUACUGGAAUAAUCGAUAGUAUGCUUCAUUUCUGUUGUGUUUUGAAGUGCGUAAUGCGAAAUAAUCGUGAUAAAGUUCAGUUUUAUUGAUUACCAUCAGUGCUGCGUUUUAGACAGAAAACCAACUAAAUAAGUUAUGAUCUGAGAGGCAAAAAAAAUUUAAUAAUAAAGCUAUAAAAUUUCCUAUCAUAAUGCUAAGUAACUAACUAGGGUACAGUUCACCAAAUAUAGCUGAAAGUGAAAAUAACUACUAUCAUGAUGCGCAUUCGUCAAACGACGGACCUCGCACUCGCACUGACUGUCCACACCAUUUAUAUGUGCGUUCUCACUUCAUUGUUAGCGCAAGCAAUGGGAAUUUCACACUUUCAGCUAUAUUUGGUGAACUGUACCUACAAACAACAUCUGUAUUGUCUGCCAACAACUUUCGAAAAUAAUCACUUAUUUUUAUUUAUUCACUGUUUAAAACUAAAUAAAGUCGUUCAAGUACUUCUACAACUAAAAACUACACAAAAUCAACAACAAAAUGUUCUCAAACUACAAUUAGAAAACUAUUAAAAGUGGUAAAAAUUUAAGAAACACAAUAUCAAAAAAAUAUAAACAAAUAAAAUACGUUCGUUCGUGGAGCCUGACGCGGAGUUUUAAUCAUGGCAUGCUCCGCUUUUCGUCCUGACUGUCUAUGCGAAUACACUUAUUAAUUGACCAUUCCAAAUCACGUGAUAUAAUAUGGCCGGAGGAGGGCAAAAAUUUAAUAAUAUAGGGUUUACAUCAGUUUUUGUAAAGAAUAUCCUGUUUGGUUUUGUUUUUUAUUGUUAAUUGUGCAGCGAAAUUGUGAUAGCAAAUAAAUAUAAAGUAGUUUAUCGCCUACAGAACUGAAUUAUCCCAUAGUUGUUAUUGGCACAAACUGGUAACUACUAUGGGAUAAUUUAGUUCUGUAGGCGAUAAACCACUUCAUAUUUAUCCCAAUUUCGCAGAUUUCCCUACACAAUUAACAAAAAAAAAACAACCAAACAGGAUUUUCUUUACAAAUUAAUGUCGAUGUAAACAGUAGAUUUUGCCCUCCUCCGGCCAUGUUCGACAGUUCAUUGGAAUGCCUAAUUUCCUCCCAGCGGUGACAUAAACGUCAAAAUCCUGAAAUGGCCUAUAUGUUUACAGGUUAGGUUAAUGAACCUUUUGUUUUAUAUAUAUUUGGUUCAAUUCGUAUGCCAAUGCCCUAUUGUGAACGUAUACUCGUAUAAAAUACGAAUUUUUGUUUUACGAAUUUAAGAAGUAGUCAAUUGAUGAAGAAACCCAGCGAAUAUGAGAGUUUUAGAUCAGAAGACUGUAAUAAAUUAAAAAUAGAUGUAAUAUCUUAAUAAUAUAUUAAAUUCAAACUGUUA